UCUGUGAAAAAAAACCUUUGAACAAACAUUACCAAUAAAUAUUAUUUUCUUCGUAAAACGGCCUCAAAUUACAUUAGGUUAUGGGUUCCACGGAUAAAACUGUGGAACAUACAAUACAUUGAUAGGACGGAAGUUUCAUUACACGUACUAAAAAAAGAACUAUAUAUAAAUAUUUAGAAUUUAAACACAUGAACAUACAAUCGAAUUGGCGAAUUUUUUAAACAUAAACAAAAAAAAAGUAAAAAAUUGAAUGCUGAAGGACAUACAGCAAAUGUUUUUAAAUUUUGCGGUAAGGAAUUCCACAGCCGUGAAACCUGAUUAUGAUAAAAUCUAUUGUAACGUUCGAUAAGCAUGUGGGAGUUUCUGCUACUAGUUAGAAAGUUGAUAGUGUUAAACCAAUAACAGGGCUGUCCAUAUUUAAUAAUGCAGAAGAGAUAAUAUAGACACCUAACGCUUAUGUAAUGAUCGAAUGAGCGUCCGAGAAAUUCAAUGGUGAAACGUUGGCAAUCGCUGCGGCAGUGAUUACCAUAGACGUAACGUAAAAUCCUAUGAAAACAGGAUAAGAGCUUACUAUGAAAACAGGAUAAGAGCUUACUCCUGAAUAAAUUUCUAAGCCGUAUAAAAUAUGUGUUAUUUUAAGAGAAUGCACUUAUAAACUUGUAAUAUGCACUGGAAGAAAUAAAUUUAUAUUAUUCAA